AACGCGAAGAACCUUACCUACCCUUGACAUCCUCGGAACCUGACAGAAACGUUGGGGUGCCCGUGAGGGAGCCGAGAGACAGGUGCUGCAUGGCUGUCGUCAGCUCGUGUCGUGAGAUGUUGGGUUAAGUCCCGUAACGAGCGCAACCCUUAUCCUUAGUUGCCAACAGGUAAAGCUGGGAACUCUAGGGAGACUGCCGGUGAUAAGCCGGAGGAAGGUGGGGAUGACGUCAAGUCCUCAUGGCCCUUACGGGUAGGGCCACACACGUGCUACAAUGGACGGUACAAAGGGAAGCGAAGCCGCGAGGUGUAGCGAAUCUCACUAAAGCCGUUCGUAGUCCGGAUUGGAGUCUGCAACUCGACUCCAUGAAGUUGGAAUCGCUAGUAAUCGCGGAUCAGAAUGCCGCGGUGAAUACGUUCCCGGGCCUUGUACACACCGGAGUA
rnacentral:rRNA from 1 species